UGCCAAAACUCUUUGUCAGGGCGCCUCUCUCCUCACGGAUCAACUACGGAGGUGCCUGUUACAGUUUUGGAAGAAUAAUACCGUUCGCCGCCCGCGGUCUCCCGUUCUGGGAGAGCUUUCCCGGGCAUAGAUGGGUAACCCCGUUUUGGGGUAUGCCGUCGCUCUAGAACGCGGAGGAUCUUAUGAGUUGAGCAUGGCCAUCGUAAAGACCCAAUUAUGCCAUUGCUCGUAGUAAAGAACCUCACAUCC
rnacentral:snoRNA from 18 species